GCAGCCCCUUGGGAUUGGUCUCUCACGCUCAUCUUUUCUUUCCUUUCUUCUCAUGAAGGCCGAAGCUUGCUAAGGAAAAAGGGCAAGGAAUUUCUUGAAGAUUUAGGCAAAACUAGUAAAAUUUUAUCAUACAAAACUUAUAGCUUUAGGUCUUGUGAUCCUAAAUCUCCAUUCUUUUCACCUUGGAAAGUUUUAUAUCUUGAGUUAGCCUUCUCUAAAGCGGGCUGGUACUGUUCAUCCAAGAUGUAGAAGUUUGGUUUUCUUCAAGUCCUUAAGUUGGAAUAUGCUGUUUAUGUUCAAGUGAAGCUAUUUAAGAGUGAAAUCGGACGAAGUAGGUGGACGAACAACUUGUAGACAACCAAGUUACGGUGUAUUAAAUAGCAAGUUAGCAGCAGGAAAGAGGUGACAGGUAUCGCAGCAGUUGACGAUCGUUCUCGGGGCAAGAGGUCCGUGGUUGAUGAGUAGAUCGGAGCAUAGAUGUUGCUUGCUUACUUUGGGAGUCUGUUGUAUAUAUAUGUUAAACUGUGAUAUGGUUAUUUGAUAUUUUGUCAAUGCAUGGUUGUUAACUGGGUUUUUUUAGAGGCUAUGCUAGCCUGUAAACAGAUCUAUAUAUUUGUGAUACUGUUAUGUAUUAUGUUUAUGUAGGUUGACGUAGGAUGUUGUAGUUAUGGCACAGAGCUACCUUUUGAUAUGACAUAUAUAGAGUUAUGGAUUUUGUCUGUAUACUGAUUU